AUUUUAUUCCAUGUACCAAAAACUGCAGACAAACACCCAUUAAUUCUCCACAUUGCAAAACAUGGAAGUAACAGGAAGUGACAGUUCAUUUUGCUCAUUUACUAUUGUUUUUAUGGGUACAAAACAUGUAUAAAUGUUUUAAACUAAACAAGCCUAUAUUAAUUGCAAAUCUGU